AAGAUCAUGAAAACACAAUAAAACAGAGACUGAUUGAGAGGGCAAGGGGAUAUGAUGGUCCCACUUGGGUGCCCUAUGGGCCCUCGUUGUUUGCAUGCUCCACACUGGACCAGUUCAUUUUGUUCUCCCUGUGUUCGGCUCUGUAAGAAGCACCACAUCCAUUUAGCUGUCCAUCCAGAGUGCUAGGAGUUACCUGACUCCAUUUCAUGUCAUCACUGUUGCUGCUUGACACCAUGACAGUUCAGGCACUGGUGUCUCUGCUAUGUGGCCUGCAGCCACAGCACCAUCUGGCCUGCCUUGACAUCUGAACCUUGUUCUUCCUAUGGGAGCCAUGGUGAUGAACCCCAGAGCUCCUUCCUGUGCUGAUGCUGAGCAUCUCAGCCAGAGCCUUCCACAUGUUCAGCCCAGAAGGACAAAUUUCCUUGAAAGCUGCUUGGCAAAACACUAUUCCCAACUGUGUGCCUCCCAACCUAGAAGAG